UAUUGGCGAACGGGUGAGUCACACGUGAGUAACCUGCCCUGAACUCUGGGAUAAUCCUUGAAAACGGGGUCUAAUACUGGAUAUUGACUCAUCACCGCAUGGUGGUUGGUUGAAAGAUUUAUGGGUUCUGGAUGGACUCGCAUGCUGUCCGCGUGUUGGUGAGGUAAUGGCUCACCAAGGCGACGACGGGUAGCCGGCCUGAGAGGGUGACCGGCCACACUGGGACUGAGACACGGCCCAGACUCCUACGGGAGGCAGCAGUGGGGAAUAUUGCACAAUGGGCGAAAGCCUGAUGCAGCGACGCCGCGUGAGGGAUGACGGCCUUCGGGUUGUAAACCUCUUUCAGUAGGGAACAAGGCCAGUGUUUAGCUGGUUGAGGGUACUUGCAGAAGAAGCGCCGGCUAACUACGUGCCAGCAGCCGCGGUAAUACGUAGGGCGCAAGCGUUAUCCGGAAUUAUUGGGCGUAAAGAGCUCGUAGGCGGUUUGUCGCGUCUGCCGUGAAAGUCCGGGGCUCAACCCGGAUCUGCGGUGGGGUACGGGCAGACUAGAGUUAUUGUAGGGGAGACUGGAAUUCCUGGUUGUAACCGGUGAAA
rnacentral:rRNA from 1 species